rnacentral:snoRNA from 1 species
UGGAUCCAUGAUGAGUGUCUUGGACUGUCUGACUUGAUUAAACUUGAUUAAACUCUGUAGCUCUGAGGUCGUU